UUUAUGUCGUUUUCUAAGUAGCUACUAGCUUUAUAAAAGCAACAAUAGUUUAUUUUGCUUUUCUUUUAUUUUAUCCCACAUUUCUUUUUCAUUUGGAUAAUAUGUAGAUUCACAAAAUUAUUGGUGCUUGCUUUGCAUAGUUGUUUAAUGGCCAUUGGUUCAUCAUCCCUGCAUGGUUUUUUGUCUUCGUAGGCUUUCAUUAAUUAUAAAGUUUGAAUACAAAAUUUAACUCCAUUAAUUAUUUUUUAAUGGAUUUUAAGGCUAAACCAUGCCUUGAAUUCGGUCCCUGUUAUCCAUAGACAGUCAAUUCCUUCAGAUAAGUACCUUAUUUUGGAUAAUUGAAAUUUCAACAAAUCAAGAAAGGCAAAAGCGACCUUUGGGUGUUUCCAAAGGUCACAUUUAUGUUCUUGAAGCAAUCCAUUUUUCCCUGUUAGCUACGCUGUUUCUUAUUGUGGUAUGUAAAUAGAGAUGUGGGAAAUAGAAUGGAAGGCACUAGCAAAGAGCUUGCGACAAUGAUACUGCUGCAGAGAUUGGAGAUUUGCGUGAAGUUGGUGAAACUAGCCAUAGAGUUUGUCAUGGUUGUGGCUGAAGCAGUUGGGGUAGUCAUUCAACAAAAUGACAGGCCAGUAGUAAUGACGAUGGUUGGCCGGUCUUUUGCUUCUCCUGUUCCCUUUGUUGGGUAUAUUCCUUAAUUGAGUUUCAUUUUUCUAGGAUUUUCCAUGCCAGCAACAAAUGAUCAUAAAAGGUUUUCAGGUCUGGACCGUUUGUAAUUUUGUUCUUUCUUUGGUAGCUAAGGUUUUGAAAUUUGAAUGUGUAAAUAUAGGCUAGCCUGGUAUGAUGCUUUGUAAGCAGUACCUAAUUUCUUUCUGGUCAAUAUUUCAUUGUUUCAUCAAGAAGUUUAAACCUGUUUUGAAUAACAGAGUUGAUUGCAUGAACUAUUUGAUCUAAAUCUCAGUUUUUUUCUUCGUAAAUUUUACCUUGCAGCAUUGUAUGCAUAUCAAUUUUUGCUUGUAGUUCAAUUAGCGAGGACUUGGAAACAAAAGAUUUAGACUCUGGCUUUGAUUUUAAUGGAGUUUAAUCAUGUUUUUGAAGUUUUUUCAUUCAAAAUUACAUAAUAUAGUGGGGAAAUCCUUGUUCUUCUUGUAUAAAUAUCUCUAAUAUUUCUAAUUCAAUUUUUUUUUUUUUAAAGAAACGUUUACGAUAAGGAAAAAUGGAGUUCAUGGUGGAUAUUUGAGGGAUAAAGCUGCAGUCGACAAUUUUCAUUGUGGGCAGGGACAUAUGAUUUUGUCCCCAGUUUUGGGCAGAUAUUUUUGCCUUUCUGGCGGACAAUUUGCAUUAUUAAAUAGUUCCAAAAUGCAUACUUUAUUACUAUUUAAUUCGCAAAUAAAACUGGUUGUUGAAGAACCCUUUUUUUGUUUAACCUUUUCCAUCCUUUUUGAAUUAAGUGGCAAAAAUAGAGAAGAGGUUUCAAUUUUCAAUCCAGAUGUGACAGCUUGGGGACUGUUUUUACUCGCAUGGUUUUGUAUAUGUUAGAGAGACAUGGUGAUGAUAGAGAAACAUCGAUGUAUCAUCCAUAGUUAAACAUCUGUCAUGGAUAUUGGAUAAUGAGGUAGAUGAAUUGGUUGAAAAGGAUUAAGUUUCCUUCCAAAUCCUUCAGAAAAUGACAUGAUUCAAUGAAAUUAUAUGAAAACAACGUUUAAGUUGAACAUCCACAUGCAUCUAUGGAAGCAUCAAAUUUUUACCAAAGUAAAUCUUAGACUAAAU
rnacentral:lncRNA from 1 species